AGGGCUGAGCAUAUGGGUAACCCG
rnacentral:siRNA from 1 species